rnacentral:lncRNA from 1 species
ACGAAAUGGGAAGAAUGGGAGGGGCAGUGGGGGGAAUGAAUCUUCUAAAAGUACUUUCUUAUCACGCCCUGAUAAAGAACUCUCAAAGUCCCCAUUUCCUGUAGCAUCAAGUUCAGACGCUUUAGAGGAGGAGUGUUGUGCAGUGGAGAGACGGGAAAAUUGAGAAUCAGAACACUUGGGGGAAAGAUGGAGGCUGUCAUUAAAGGAGCUGUGAAAUUUACCAAAGAUGUGGCCACAGAGCAAAGAAAUCAUCACGGAUGUGUCUCUGGCAAAUUCCAG